GAUGAAGAACGUAGCGAAAUGCGAUAAGUAAUGUGAAUUGCAGAAUUCAGUGAAUCAUCGAAUCUUUGAACGCACAUUGCGCCCCUUGGUAUUCCGAGGGGCAUGCCUGUUCGAGCGUCAUUAUCACCCCUCAAGCUUUGCUUGGUGUUGGGGCCUGCUGUAAUAGGCAGCCCUUAAAAUCAGUGGCGGUGCUUCAAGGCUCUAAGCGUAGUAAUUCUCCUCGCUAUAGUGUCUAGUGGUUGCCAGCCAGAACCCCCCAAUUUGCAUGAUUGACCUCGGAUCAGGUAGGGAUACCCGCUGAACUUAAGCAUAUCAAUAGCGGAGGA
rnacentral:misc_RNA from 1 species